AGCGGGGGAUAACACCUGGAAACAGAUGCUAAUACCGCAUAACAACUUGGACCGCAUGGUCCGAGUUUGAGAGAUGGCUUCGGCUAUCACUUUUGGAUGGUCCCGCGGCGUAUUAGCUAGAUGGUGAGGUAACGGCUCACCAUGGCAAUGAUACGUAGCCGACCUGAGAGGGUAAUCGGCCACAUUGGGACUGAGACACGGCCCAAACUCCUACGGGAGGCAGCAGUAGGGAAUCUUCCACAAUGGACGAAACUCUGAUGGAGCAACGCCGCGUGAGUGAAGAAGGGUUUCGGCNNCGUAAAACUCUGUUGUUAAAGAAGAACAUAUCUGAGAGUAACUGUUCAGGUAUUGACGGUAUUUAACCAGAAAGCCACGGCUAACUACGUGCCAGCAGCCGCGGUAAUACGUAGGUGGCAAGCGUUGUCCGGAUUUAUUGGGCGUAAAGCGAGCGCAGGCGGUUUUUUAAGUCUGAUGUGAAAGCCUUCGGCUCAACCGAAGAAGUGCAUCGGAAACUGGGGAACUUGAGUGCAGAAGAGGACAGUGGAACUCCAUGUGUAGCGGUGAAAUGCGUAGAUAUAUGGAAGAACACCAGUGGCGAAGGCGGUUGUCUGGUCUGUAACUGACGCUGAGGCUCGAAAGUAUG
rnacentral:rRNA from 1 species